rnacentral:rRNA from 1 species
GAUGAACGCUAGCUCCAGGCUUAACACAUGCAAGUCGAGGGACCGGCGCACGGGUGUGUAACCCGUAUCCAACCUGCCCUUUACUCGGGGAUAGCCUUUCAAAAGAAAGAUUAAUACCCGAUAUAAAGAAUGGGGCUGGGUUGCUUUAGGUUGUGGGGGAGGUCACGGCUAACCAAGCCUUCGAUGGAUAGGUGUUCGGAGAGUAAGUCACACUGCAUCGGAGUGGUGACCCGGACCAAACCGCUACGCGAGGAGGGAGUGAGGAAUAUUGGUCAAGGGACGGUAGCCUGAACCUGCCAAGUAGCGGAAAGGAGGAAGGCUUAGGGGUCGUAUACUUCUUUUAUAUAAGAAUAUGUAUUAUAUGAAUAAGGAUCGGCUAACUCCGUGCCAGCAGCUGCGGUAAUAC